rnacentral:rRNA from 1 species
UCGAGCGGACCAAUAGAAAAAGCUUGCUUUUCUUGAGGUUAGCGGCGGACGGGUGAGUAACACGUGGGCAACCUACCUGUAAGACUGGGAUAACUUACGGAAACGUGAGCUAAUACCGGAUAGUUUCACUUCUCGCAUGAGAAGUGAAGGAAAGAUGGCUUUUAGCUAUCACUUACAGAUGGGCCCGCGGCGCAUUAGCUAGUUGGUGGGGUAAAGGCCUACCAAGGCAACGAUGCGUAGCCGACCUGAGAGGGUGAUCGGCCACACUGGGACUGAGACACGGCCCAGACUCCUACGGGAGGCAGCAGUAGGGAAUCUUCCGCAAUGGACGAAAGUCUGACGGAGCAACGCCGCGUGAGCGAAGAAGGUCUUCGGAUCGUAAAGCUCUGUUGUUAGGGAAGAACAAGUACCGGAGUAACUGUCGGUACCUUGACGGUACCUAACCAGAAAGCCACGGCUAACUACGUGCCAGCAGCCGCGGUAAUACGUAGGGUGCGAGCGUUAAUCGGAAUUACUGGGCGUAAAGCGUGCGCAGGCGGUUUUGUAAGACAGAUGUGAAAUCCCCGGGCUUAACCUGGGAACUGCAUUUGUGACUGCAAGGCUAGAGUACGGCAGAGGGGGGUAGAAUUCCACGUGUAGCAGUGAAAUGCGUAGAUAUGUGGAGGAAUACCGAUGGCGAAGGCAGCCCCCUGGGUCGAUACUGACGCUCAUGCACGAAAGCGUGGGGGAGCAAACAGGAUUAGAUACCCUGGUAGUCCACGCCCUAAACGAUGUCAACCAGGUGUUGGGGAAGGAGACUUC